rnacentral:lncRNA from 1 species
CGUCACAUACACUUUGACCUAGAAUAGCCUACAAAGUUCGCAUAAGUUAUUCGGUUGAUCUAACGUUCAAACAAAAAUUGAUUUCAACAUGAACUUUCUCAAAUGAAGGAGAAGCCAAACAUGUUACGAAACCAAUAGAGAAUCCCAACAAAAACGUAACAACUUUGCUAACUAUUCAUUGUAUUAGCAAAUUACAAAUCUACUUUCUUGCUAGAAUUACAGAUAACAUUUCAAAACAUUGAAAUAUAGUUUCUACAUAAUCCUCAUGAAAUAGUAAACACUAGCUAGGUAAAUUAAUGGCCACAUUUAAUCUAUAAGGGAGACGACGCGAAUGCAAUGCAAGCGAGAAAAAGAAUAGCAGAAGAAGCUCCAUCUUCAAGAUUGGAACUGCUCCUCUUGAACUUGCUAUCUUUCCCUUUCUUGCAUUGUAUUUGCUUUUGCUGAUGAUUACUCUCUCGUCCGCCCUUAAAUUCCUUGAGCUGCCUCAUUUUCAUAGCUUCUUCCAACCUUGAAACCAUCUUCUUAGAUAUAAUAAACUCUCUUUGUGUCUGAGGAGGGCUAAGAGAGAGAUUUGCAGUGGUGCAUGGGAAACUAAUAUUU